rnacentral:rRNA from 1 species
AUCGCAUGAUGCAGUGUGAAAAACUCCGGUGGUAUAAGAUGGACCCGCGUUGGAUUAGCUAGUUGGUGAGGUAACGGCCCACCAAGGCGACGAUCCAUAGCCGACCUGAGAGGGUGACCGGCCACAUUGGGACUGAGACACGGCCCAAACUCCUACGGGAGGCAGCAGUGGGGAAUAUUGCACAAUGGGCGAAAGCCUGAUGCAGCGACGCCGCGUGAGCGAAGAAGUAUUUCGGUAUGUAAAGCUCUAUCAGCAGGAAAGAUAAUGACGGUACCUGACUAAGAAGCACCGGCUAAAUACGUGCCAGCAGCCGCGGUAAUACGUAUGGUGCAAGCGUUAUCCGGAUUUACUGGGUGUAAAGGGAGCGCAGGCGGUGCGGCAAGUCUGAUGUGAAAGCCCGGGGCUCAACCCCGGUACUGCAUUGGAAACUGUCGUACUAGAGUGUCGGAGGGGUAAGCGGAAUUCCUAGUGUAGCGGUGAAAUGCGUAGAUAUUAGGAGGAACACCAGUGGCGAAGGCGGCUUACUGGACGAUAACUGACGCUGAGGCUCGAAAGCGUGGGGAGCAAACAGGAUUAGAUACCCUGGUAGUCCACGCCGUA